UAUUUAUGACAGCUUGCCAGGUCCCUAGCGUUAUGCUCAGCACUUAACUUACAUCCAUCUCAUCUAAUAUUUGCAAAAAGCCUUUGGGAGGGAGAUGUAUCAUCAUUAUAUCCUUUUUAUAGUUGAGCAACGGAGACUUUGAAAGGUUAAGGCACUGUCCAGGGUCACAGUCUUAGUAGAUGACUCGGUUACAUUUCCAAUUGGGCUGCCUGGCCUGGCAGAUCAUGUAUUCACUGUAUAUUCUGCCUCCUCUGGGGCCUAAUUUCCACAUCUAUAUUUGUUUUCCUCUCCUAGGUAACUGGGGAGUCCAGGGCUCAGCCCAGACUGCGUUUCCAGACUUGGCGUGGGAGUGAGUGGGGCUGGCUCACAGCUGAGGGCAUGGAGCAAAUGUGACUGGAAGCAGGGUUGCGCGCCGUGGGAGGGCAGGGCAGGGAGCAAGGGGACGUCGGAAAUGCCCCCUCCGGGUCCAGCCAUCCAAAGAGACGGAUCAGCAACAGAGAACCUGUAAGACUGAGCAAGCAAGUUUGGGAGGCAGACUGGAAAGAUUGCCAGCAUCUGGGGAGACUUAAGUAAUGGGAGCUUUUCAGAGGAUGUCCAGGGCAAAGGAUGUUGGUGGGGCAGAGCUGCAGAGGGUGCCAAGCACAUUCCUGCCAUCCGUGAGACAGAGCUAACAAAUGUCUCUCUUCCACAGAUCUUGCGAAGAAUUGAAGAUGAUAAUAUCAUCCAAGAAAAUCAUAGGCAUUAGAGUGUUUGUUGCACAGCAGUUACUGGAGAGAAAGAUGUUCUUUAUUUUGUUUUCAACUUCACAUCUCAGCAGCUUUGCAGAGUGCCUGGUACCUAAAACCUCUCUGUCAUAUCAUAAGAAAAGAAUGUGUGCAUCUUGACCUUCCUUCCCACUGCGGUCCAUCCAGAGCUCCUGGAAAUGAACACCUUUGACAACGGAUCUGUGACACCUGACCCUAAAGACCAGUUGGGCUGAAUAUCUGCCCAACAGAAACAUUUGAGCACAAAAUACAGCUAUUGUCUUAAUGUGUUUCAUCAGUGGGGACUAGUUUGAACAUUCUGUCCUAUAAUUGUUUUCCGGGUUUAGCUUUUUGUCCACUGUGAAGGCAUGAAGCAAGCAUUUUGAGUUCUCAAUCUGGUAAAACACUGAUUGCUACAUUCACUAAAUUGAAUGUGAUGGUUAAUUUUGUGUGUCAACUUGACUAGGGUAGGGAAUACCCAGAUAUUUGCUCAAAUAUUUUUCUGGGUGUUUCUGUGAGGGUACUUUAGUGAGACUAGCAUUUAAAUUGAUAGCCUGAGUAAAGCAGAUUGCUCUCCUAACGUGGGUGAGCCUCACCAAUCGACUGAAGGCCUGAAUAGAACAAGAAGGCUGAGACCUCCUCCAAGUAAGAGAGAAUUCUUCCAGCCUGAUGGCCAUUGAACAGAGACAUUGGCUUUUUUCCUGCUUUUAGAUUGGAACUGAAACAUCAGGUCUUCCUGUGGCUUGAGCCUGCCAGCCUUCAACUAGAACUACACUGUUGGCUCUUUGGGGUCUCCAUCUUGCGGAUUCACCCUGUAGAUCUUGGGAUUUGCCAACCUAACAUAACCAUGUGAUCCAAUUUCUUAUAAUGGAUCUGUAUCUAUAUCCAUAUCCAUAUCCGUAUCUGUAUCCGUAUCUGUAUCCAUAUCUGUAUCUGUAUCUAUAUCUGUAUCUGUCUAUACACAUAUCCUAUUGCUUCUAUUUCUCUGAAGAACCUUGACUAAUAAAAUGGACAAUCGGAAUUUCUGGUGUGGUUUA
rnacentral:lncRNA from 1 species